ACUCAAAGGAAUUGACGGGGGCCCGCACAAGCGGUGGAGCAUGUGGUUUAAUUCGAUGCAACGCGAAGAACCUUACCAGCCCUUGACAUACUAGGUUUCGACUCCGAGAGAUUGGAGUUUUCAGUUCGGCUGGGCCUAGUACAGGUGCUGCAUGGCUGUCGUCAGCUCGUGUCGUGAGAUGUUGGGUUAAGUCCCGCAACGAGCGCAACCCUCAUCUUCAGUUGCCAUCAGGUUAUGCUGGGCACUCUGAAGAAACUGCCGGUGACAAGCCGGAGGAAGGUGGGGAUGACGUCAAGUCCUCAUGGCCCUUACGGGCUGGGCUACACACGUGCUACAAUGGCGGUGACAGUGGGAUGCGAUGGCGCAAGCCGGAGCGAAUCUCCAAAAGCCGUCUCAGUUCGGAUUGCACUCUGCAACUCGGGUGCAUGAAGUCGGAAUCGCUAGUAAUCGUGGAUCAGCAUGCCACGGUGAAUACGUUCCCGGGCCUUGUACACACCGCCCGU
rnacentral:rRNA from 1 species